UACGAAGGGAGCUAGCGUUGUUCGGAAUCACUGGGCGUAAAGCGCACGUAGGCGGAUGUGUCAGUCAGGGGUGAAAUCCCGGAGCUCAACUUCGGAACUGCCUUUGAUACAGCACAUCUGGAGUCCGGAAGAGGUGGGUGGAAUUCCUAGUGUAGAGGUGAAAUUCGUAGAUAUUAGGAAGAACACCGGUGGCGAAGGCGGCCCACUGGUCCGGUACUGACGCUGAGGUGCGAAAGCGUGGGGAGCGAACAGG
rnacentral:rRNA from 1 species